GUGUCAGCCGCCGCGGUAAUACGUAGGUGGCAAGCGUUAUCCGGAAUUAUUGGGCGUAAAGCGCGCGCAGGUGGUUUCUUAAGUCUGGUGUGAAAGCCCACGGCUCAACCGUGGAGGGUCAUUGGAAACUGGGAGACUUGAGUGCAGAAGAGGAAAGUGGAAUUCCAUGUGUAGCGGUGAAAUGCGUAGAGAUAUGGAGGAACACCAGUGGCGAAGGCGACUUUCUGGUCUGUAACUGACACUGAGGCGCGAAAGCGUGGGGAGCAAACAGGAUUAGAUACCCUCGUAGUCC
rnacentral:rRNA from 1 species